GAUGAACGCUGGCGGCGUGCCUAAUACAUGCAAGUCGAGCGAACGGACGAGAAGCUUGCUUCUCUGAUGUUAGCGGCGGACGGGUGAGUAACACGUGGAUAACCUACCUAUAAGACUGGGAUAACUUCGGGAAACCGGAGCUAAUACCGGAUAAUAUUUUGAACCGCAUGGUUCAAAAGUAAAAGACGGUCUUGCUGUCACUUAUAGAUGGAUCCGCGCUGCAUUAGCUAGUUGGUAAGGUAACGGCUUACCAAGGCAACGAUGCAUAGCCGACCUGAGAGGGUGAUCGGCCACACUGGAACUGAGACACGGUCCAGACUCCUACGGGAGGCAGCAGUAGGGAAUCUUCCGCAAUGGGCGAAAGCCUGACGGAGCAACGCCGCGUGAGUGAUGAAGGUCUUCGGAUCGUAAAACUCUGUUAUUAGGGAAGAACAUAUGUGUAAGUAACUGUGCACAUCUUGACGGUACCUAAUCAGAAAGUCACGGCUAACUACGUG
rnacentral:rRNA from 1 species